CUCUGGCAAAGGUCGUCCAACAUGGACCACAGCUGGUUGACUUGCUGGAGAACAUCUCCUGGGACGCCGCCGGCCGACAUUACCAACCCAAGACAGUCAGAGUUGGUAGAAAGAUCCAUCCGAGGAAUUUGGCCACCUUGGUGUAGACUCCAGGAUGGUUAGGCUCGGCGCAGCCGUUCCCCCAGCUGACCACCCCCAUCAGCCUCCACACGUUCUCAUCCUGGCACACUAGAGGCCCGCCACUAUCCCCCUGCAACGCAAAUAUCAUCCAUGACCCACUGAUCCUGUCUUGGAAACAUCAAAACAAGGUUCACUUUAUGCCAACACCGGGCCAUGGAGAAGGUGACUAAAGGACACCAUGGCAUGGUGUUAAAAGUAUUACGCAAACAUGGUGUGUGUGUUAAGGCAUAAAGAAACUGCUGCCAGCACUUGUAAUUAAGAGGUCUGCCUGAGCUUUGCCACUCUCACUGUGCUGCACAUAGAGCUUUGGGAGUCCCGCCACUCUCAUUUUGAGCUCCUUCCACAUCUGGAUUAAGACGCAGGCCAGCUGCGGCUCCGGCACGGUGCCAUCAGGGGUCAGCACAGAGUCUGGAAUCAUUUCAGCCCACAUGACACAAAUAAAUAAGCCACUGGGAAGGUUUGUGGCCGGAGCCAAUAAAGUGUUAAGAGGGAAUUGCCCGGCGUGACGAUGGCAAAAGCUGUGAAAGUCCCAAUGUUGACGCUGAAUUAGUAAAGCUACUGCAGUGGCUGAUGGAUUCUACACAAUGAAAUGAAAAUGAAGGUAACAUUUAGGUGGA